rnacentral:rRNA from 1 species
UACAUGGGGUGCAAACGUUGCUCGGAAUUAUUGGGCGUAAAGCGCACGUAGGCGGUUUGUUAAGUCGGAUGUGAAAUCCCUCGGCUCAACUGAGGAAGUGCACCCGAAACUGGCAGGCUUGAGUACUAAAGAGGGUCGCGGAAUUCCCGGUGUAGAGGUGAAAUUCGUAGAUAUCGGGAGGAACACCGGUGGUGAAGGCGGCGACCUGGGUAGAUACUGACGCUGAGGUGCGAAAGCGUGGGGAGCAAACAGG